rnacentral:rRNA from 1 species
GACGUAGGAGGCGAGCGUUGUCCGGAAUCAUUGGGCGUAAAGAGCGUGUAGGCGGCCCGGUAAGUCCGCUGUGAAAGUCCAGGGCUCAACCCUGGGAUGCCGGUGGAUACUGUCGGGCUCGAGUCCGGAAGAGGCGAGUGGAAUUCCUGGUGUAGCGGUGAAAUGCGUAGAUAUGUGGAGGAAUACCGAUGGCGAAGGCAGCCCCCUGGGAU